ACAGAGGGUGCGAGCGUUGUUCGGAAUUAUUGGGCGUAAAGGGCGCGUAGGCGGCCGACCAAGUCGGAUGUGAAAUCCCUCGGCUCAACCGAGGAACUGCACUCGAUACUGGUUGGCUAGAGUCCGGGAGGGGAUGGUGGAAUUCCCAGUGUAGCGGUGAAAUACGUAGAUAUUGGGAAGAACACCGGUGGCGAAGGCGGCUUUCUGGACAGUAACUGACGCUGAGACGCGGAAGCGUGGGGAGCAAACAGGA
rnacentral:rRNA from 1 species